UGGGGAUUGGGGUAACGGUAGCCCGCCUGACUCUGGAUCAGGUAGUCUAGGUUCGAAUCCUAGAUCCCCAACCAAGG
rnacentral:tRNA from 1 species